AGGCGAAAAGAACCCCGGCGAGGGGAGUGAAAAAGAACCUGAAACCGUGUACGUACAAGCAGUGGGAGCACGCUUAGGCGUGUGACUGCGUACCUUUUGUAUAAUGGGUCAGCGACUUAUAUUCUGUAGCAAGGUUAACCGAAUAGGGGAGCCGAAGGGAAACCGAGUCUUAACUGGGCGUUAAGUUGCAGGGUAUAGACCCGAAACCCGGUGAUCUAGCCAUGGGCAGGUUGAAGGUUGGGUAACACUAACUGGAGGACCGAACCGACUAAUGUUGAAAAAUUAGCGGAUGACUUGUGGCUGGGGGUGAAAGGCCAAUCAAACCGGGAGAUAGCUGGUUCUCCCCGAAAGCUAUUUAGGUAGCGCCUCGUGAAUUCAUCUCCGGGGGUAGAGCACUGUUUCGGCAAGGGGGUCAUCCCGACUUACCAACCCGAUGCAAACUGCGAAUACCGGAGAAUGUUAUCACGGGAGACACACGGCGGGUGCUAACGUCCGUCGUGAAGAGGGAAACAACCCAGACCGCCAGCUAAGGUCCCAAAGUCAUGGUUAAGUGGGAAACGAUGUGGGAAGGCCCAGACAGCCAGGAUGUUGGCUUAGAAGCAGCCAUCAUUUAAAGAAAGCGUAAUAGCUCACUGGUCGAGUCGGCCUGCGCGGAAGAUGUAACGGGGCUAAACCAUGCACCGAAGCUGCGGCAGCGACGCUUAUGCGUUGUUGGGUAGGGGAGCGUUCUGUAAGCCUGUGAAGGUGUACUGUGAGGUAUGCUGGAGGUAUCAGAAGUGCGAAUGCUGACAUAAGUAACGAUAAAGCGGGUGAAAAGCCCGCUCGCCGGAAGACCAAGGGUUCCUGUCCAACGUUAAUCGGGGCAGGGUGAGUCGACCCCUAAGGCGAGGCCGAAAGGCGUAGUCGAUGGGAAACAGGUUAAUAUUCCUGUACUUGGUGUUACUGCGAAGGGGGGACGGAGAAGGCUAUGUUGGCCGGGCGACGGUUGUCCCGGUUUAAGCGUGUAGGCUGGUUUUCCAGGCAAAUCCGGAAAAUCAAGGCUGAGGCGUGAUGACGAGGCACUACGGUGCUGAAGCAACAAAUGCCCUGCUUCCAGGAAAAGCCUCUAAGCAUCAGGUAACAUCAAAUCGUACCCCAAACCGACACAGGUGGUCAGGUAGAGAAUACCAAGGCGCUUGAGAGAACUCGGGUGAAGGAACUAGGCAAAAUGGUGCCGUAACUUCGGGAGAAGGCACGCUGAUAUGUAGGUGAAGCGACUUGCUCGUGGAGCUGAAAUCAGUCGAAGAUACCAGCUGGCUGCAACUGUUUAUUAAAAACACAGCACUGUGCAAACACGAAAGUGGACGUAUACGGUGUGACGCCUGCCCGGUGCCGGAAGGUUAAUUGAUGGGGUUAGCGCAAGCGAAGCUCUUGAUCGAAGCCCCGGUAAACGGCGGCCGUAACUAUAACGGUCCUAAGGUAGCGAAAUUCCUUGUCGGGUAAGUUCCGACCUGCACGAAUGGCGUAAUGAUGGCCAGGCUGUCUCCACCCGAGACUCAGUGAAAUUGAACUCGCUGUGAAGAUGCAGUGUACCCGCGGCAAGACGGAAAGACCCCGUGAACCUUUACUAUAGCUUGACACUGAACAUUGAGCCUUGAUGUGUAGGAUAGGUGGGAGGCUUUGAAGUGUGGACGCCAGUCUGCAUGGAGCCGACCUUGAAAUACCACCCUUUAAUGUUUGAUGUUCUAACGUUGACCCGUAAUCCGGGUUGCGGACAGUGUCUGGUGGGUAGUUUGACUGGGGCGGUCUCCUCCUAAAGAGUAACGGAGGAGCACGAAGGUUGGCUAAUCCUGGUCGGACAUCAGGAGGUUAGUGCAAUGGCAUAAGCCAGCUUGACUGCGAGCGUGACGGCGCGAGCAGGUGCGAAAGCAGGUCAUAGUGAUCCGGUGGUUCUGAAUGGAAGGGCCAUCGCUCAACGGAUAAAAGGUACUCCGGGGAUAACAGGCUGAUACCGCCCAAGAGUUCAUAUCGACGGCGGUGUUUGGCACCUCGAUGUCGGCUCAUCACAUCCUGGGGCUGAAGUAGGUCCCAAGGGUAUGGCUGUUCGCCAUUUAAAGUGGUACGCGAGCUGGGUUUAGAACGUCGUGAGACAGUUCGGUCCCUAUCUGCCGUGGGCGCUGGAGAACUGAGGGGGGCUGCUCCUAGUACGAGAGGACCGGAGUGGACGCAUCACUGGUGUUCGGGUUGUCAUGCCAAUGGCACUGCCCGGUAGCUAAAUGCGGAAGAGAUAAGUGCU
rnacentral:rRNA from 1 species